GCACUCAAGGUCCAUGUGUGGGUGUCCCUUCCUCCCUCACUGCUCCAUGUGCGUCCCUCCCGAAGCUGCGCGCUCGGUCGAAGAGGAUGAGCAUCUCCGCUAGAGGAGGACCGGUCUUUGGUCAAGGGUGUGCAAGUAGCU